GAUCAGAGAAUGCUCUGUAGAGACAGUCACUCAUCUCAUAGGAUGCAACGAAAUCGGAGGGUCAGGAAUGUGCAAAGGGUGAAAAACUGGCAUUAAAUUUAACAAGGGGAUUUACUUCAUAUGUUUAUGAAAGAUCAAUGUUGUAGUUAUCUCUUUUUUGAGGCUGGAGGCUUUUCUAAUUGAAUCCUGGGGAGGAGGAAAAGGAGUCACUGGUUUCAACUGAAAAUGAUCCCCCUGCCUUAGUGUAACCAGUAUCCAAAGACCCCGGCAUCACCUCGCAGCAUCCAGACCCCUGCCAAAUCCAGCAGCUGUUUAGACGGACUCAGGAAGCACAGUUUGCUCUGUAUGUGGAUGGACUUUCUGGGGAUAAAAGUGCAUCAUUCCCAUUUAUUUGCUUGUUGGUUUAAUAAAGAAAACUUUUUUU